CAUACAAAACAAAAAACAAAAAACAAAAAACAAAAAAACAAAACAAAAAGUACAAAAAACAAACAAACAAAAAAUAAAUAAAAUAAAUAUAAAAAAAAUCAUUGACUUUUAUUCAUAUCCGAUUAAAUUGAUAUUAAACGAUUAUAAUUAUUAUUAAUGCAACCUAAUUAUUCUAUUCAUACAUGUACUCAAAAUAAAAAAAAAUAAAAAUAAAAUAUAUAUAUAUCUGUAUAUAGUGACAUACAUUUAUAUUCUGUUGUUAUUUU
rnacentral:lncRNA from 1 species